ACAGCUGCACCCCAGAAGCAAGCACUCCACGAUGCAGGGCAAGGAGAGGAUGGCUCACACCUGAGGCUCUGCUGGGGCUGCAAGCCUGGCUGGAGGCUCCCGAGCCUGGAGGAGAGGCCUCCAGGGGCCCUGCCAGUGCUGACCCUUCCCUGGGGUGUUCCUUCCAUGGAGCACAGGCGAGCCUUGUGCCCCAUUUCACAGAUUUGGGAACUGAGGCUCUGAGAGGCUUACCUGCCCCAAGGUCACAUAGCUCUUGUCGGGAAGAGUCUGGUUUUGAUGCCAGAGGCUGCCGGUCUGUUUUGGAGGGGGAACACCUGCAGGGGGCCCACCCUGAGCAGCAAGCAGGUGACCUGCAGCUUUUACAGAAUGGAAGGGGACCCCUGUCUUAGAGGCACGCUGGGGCAAGAAGGCUCAGCGCCCCUCCCCCAAAGGAUGACGAAGAGAACGUGUCCAAGGCGGGGGAGGAGGGGAGAACUUCCACCAGGUUCUGAGCAAAGGCCCCCGCCCCCACGCCGAGGGUUUGGCUCCCCUUUCGCGGAAUGCCGCCGCUCCCAGGGGCAUGGCUGGACGGUUCCGGGGUGCCGGGCUGGGAGGCGCCCAACGUCGCGAGUGCGGACAGACCGAGAAAGACUGGAUGUCCCUGAUGCAGAGCCGAGACCCCAAAGGGGGCCAGAGUGGAGGAGAGCCCACCGCCUUUCCCGUGGACCCUGGGACCCGGAGGAUGACAGUCAAGACUGUGAACUCUGCAGAGAAGGACAGUCUGACUCACCUCUGAACACCGGACCAGCGCAGGAGGUGUGACCGCUUGUGGUUUCACAACAGAGGAGGCUCUGACGCGUGUCUGCACCCCUGCUGUGGCUCCUCUCUCCUCUCAGGAUGGCCUGGCUGGGAGGAACUGACCCAGGCAGGUCAGUCGGACAACUGAGGGUGUACAGGGAAAGACCAGAGGGACACCAUGGUGGGGGUUAAUGUGGAAAAGAGCCCUCCCCAAGCCCAUCCUGGUAGAAGUACCUAGAGGGAGGUGGAGACUGUCCCUUCCUGUGCCCAGAACUUCAUAGUGAUGAAGACAAACACCGAAAAACCAAGAGCCAUGCAAAAAACAACAUGGCCGUCUUACAUCUAAGCAAAGAGCCUAUUCCCCCAUAUGUAAAAAGCUCUUACAAAUCAAUAAUAAAAAAAACCCAAAAGCAGGAAAAAAAUGGGCAGAGAUUAUGAACAGAAAAGGAAAUAAAAAUAAUGCUUAUAUAUACAAAAAGUGCCCUGUCUCACUCCUAACAACAGAAAGGCAAAUUAAAACUACCCUGAGAGAUGAUUUAUUCAUCCAAUGGGCAAAGAGUAAGGUAUAAUGACACUGUUGCGAUGAUGUGGGAAGCAGGCACUUUUAGAGCAUCUGAAACAAGGUCCAAAUUCCAAAUACUUUAUACCCUUUGGCCCAGCAUUUACUUCUAGGAAUCUGUCCUCCAGAGAGUGCUCACAAAUGUGAAAAAUGAUAUAUUACUGCACGCAAGGUUAUUCACCGGAGCACUCUUGGUAAUAGCAGCAGAUUGGAAGCAUCUGAAAUGCGGGCAGACAGUGGAGUGCAGGGACGCGUCCACACAGAUGCACGCGCAGCUGGAAAGGCACACGCUAAUCUGAGUCCAUCUCCCAGAACGGUCUUUAGGGGAAAAAAAGGAGGAGUGGAACUGUGUGUGUAGGACUUUUUAUUAACUCGUGCAAGAAGGAUGUAACACAGUAACAUUUUAUUUGCCUGUGUGUGCAAAACAGCAGGAAAACUGGAGGGCCAGGAGAUGGGAGAGAGGGGAGGAAACUGCUUUACUCAGAGGUGUUGUUCACGUGUCGACAGUGAAUUUCACCCUUCUGAACAGUAUACAGUUCCAUGAGUUUUGACAAAGGUGUACAUCUGUAUCACCACCCCAAUCAAGAUAUUGAAACGUCCAGCGCACCAGAAAAUGAGGCUUUUCACUCUGUACCCACAUCUGCUGUUUGAAUUUUGUAC